rnacentral:rRNA from 1 species
CUUUACUGUAGCUUUGUAUUGGACUUUGAACAGAUCUGUGUAGGAUAGGUGGGAGGCUUUGAAGUGUGGUCGCUAGAUCGCAUGGAGCCAACGUUGAAAUACCACCCUGGUGUGUUUGAGGUUCUAACCUAGAUCCCUGAUCGGGAUCGGGGACAGUGCAUGGUAGGCAGUUUGACUGGGGCGGUCUCCUCCCAAAGCGUAACGGAGGAGUUCGAAGGUACGCUAGGUACGGUCGGACAUCGUGCUAAUAGUGCAAUGGCAUAAGCGUGCUUAACUGCGAGACUGACAAGUCGAGCAGAUGCGAAAGCAGGACAUAGUGAUCCGGUGGUUCUGUAUGGAAGGGCCAUCGCUCAACGGAUAAAAGGUA